GGGUGAGGGUCCCCACGUGUGGUGGGUGCUGUGUGCCCUGGGUGCUGCACACCUGGGCCUGGGGGGCUCACCCAGCCAAACAGGGUGUGCCACUGAUCACCUCUGCUCUUCCAUCCUCAGCCACAAUGCUGUCCACUGGACUUCCUUUCUGGAAUUUGUCUUUGUUCUGAUUUUGAUUUGUCUUUCUUGUUUUCCUCUUCCAGAACAGGGUGUUUCCCAGCACAGAGCUCUAGAGCAGAGCUGUCCCUCUUCUCCUCAUUGGCUGUCCUCUCCCACAGCAGCUGCUUCUUAAACAGGAAUCCAACUGAAGCAGCAAGUGACACUUGGCCAACAUGCAGCAAAGAUGCCACCCCAGCUGAUUUGCCAAGGCAGCAUUUUCUAGGGGAUGAAAGGAGAGUCCCAAGGCAUUGAUGCUAGAACAGAAAGUACUUCAGCUGGGCACUGGAGGCUGCUGAAAUCAGGAGCCGUGGGCCUUCCAGGAAAGGCAGGUUGGGAUGGUUUUCACCUGCUGCCACCUGCGGUGACAGCGUGUCCCUCUCACCACUGUGCUGCGGGGGUUUUCAUUGAGCACUAAGCACGUCCCUUCCAAGAGGUCUGUCAGAAGGGCAGUGAAGUUGGAAUCACUGCUUUAAUUCAUACGUGCUCUGCGUGGAGACAGCAGAUUCUAACAAUUCUGCUUUGAAUUGUGGCAAUGCCCAAGUUCGUGUUGUUUUUUCUCCCGCCUGAUUAACUUCAAUAGUAAGUUUGUAUCUUUAUUCAGACCACAGAGAGCAUGUUCUAAAUCAGCAGCAAAUUUGCAGCAACACACACACACACAUCACAAACUUUGCGUAUAUUUAUACACAUAAAACCUGGUUCCAACUGAAUGCUUAAUUAUUUAUAAAAUCGAAGUGUACAA